GAAGCCUGUAACAACAACGGAGAAUAUCUAAUACAUUUGGCGUGUCGCCAAGGUGACUUGAAUACGAUUAAGUUUCUUGUACACGAUGCCCAAGUGAAUGUCAAUGUCCGGGACGAUAUUGGACGCACAGUAUUUCACGAUGUGUGCUGGAGACC
rnacentral:rRNA from 1 species